rnacentral:rRNA from 1 species
UACGAAGGGGGCGAGCGUUGUUCGGAAUUACUGGGCGUAAAGGGCGCGCAGGCGGCUCUGAAAGUCAGAUGUGAAAGCCCCGGGCUUAACCUGGGAAUUGCAUUUGAUACUCUGGAGCUUGAGUACGGGAGAGGAGAGUGGAAUUCCCAGUGUAGAGGUGAAAUUCGUAGAUAUUGGGAAGAACACCAGUGGCGAAGGCGGCUCUCUGGACCGUAACUGACGCUGAGGCGCGAAAGCGUGGGGAGCAAACAGG